CUCUACUUAUAAACAAUGUAACCGUGAUUAGUUGGAUACUCUAGACUUUACAAGUGACUGAAAUCUUUUGAGCUUAUACAAUUUCUCAUUUAAACCUCAUUUAUUCAUGUUUAACUUCAUUUAUUCUCAUUUAAUAGAAUAUAUGUAAAAGUUUUAUAUCUUAAACUCAAAGUUUUAUAUCUAAUAAGCAGUUAAAGCCUAGCCAGCUUUAUUCCUUUUAAAGAAGAUUUAACCUUAUAUUUUACUUUCAGAAUUAGAAUGGGUUGAUUUUCCUAUUCUAAAACCUCGUGUAGUUGCCCAGGUUGUGUUUAAUCAAGGUCAAUAAAACAUCUGUCUAAAGUUUAAAUAUUACUUGUCAUGAUUUAUCGAUUGCUCCAAAUCUUCGUUACACAGAUGGUUUAUAUAUGGAACCCUAGAUAUCUCUGAGUAACCCCUUCUGAUCAACUCCACCACCCUGAAUCUACUCAUCAUGAAGCCGAUGCUCGGGGAACACGCCUCCUCUAUGUUCCUCUUGUAAGGCUCAGCCUACUGAUAUAUAUACCAGGAUUAAACAGAACCUCGUUGCUACUCAAUAGCCUCGCAAUCUUCUCGCACUCCGGAGCACCUGUGUUCUGGAUGAUGUGCUCGACGGAUCCUACUUGGAACCCUGUCGUGAUAUCCUCCUCCAGCUCAAGCAUGACGGACCUGUAAGGCUUGUACUGGAUCAUCUUCUCCUCACCCACCUCUUACCUCACCCACUGGUGCAGCCAUCUGUUAUUAUAAAGGUGAAUAACAUGAUAAACUCUCGAGUCGUAUGAUAAACUUGUGCUAACGUUAACCUAUUUAGCCCAAGUCUGUGUGGUCGAUGAACUCCUUCACGACCUCCACCUAGCAGCGGACCAUAAACUGUACCUCCUCUCCCAAAGCCUCUACUGGACGGACUGAUCCUAGGCGCAACCUACGGAUCAUUGAUAGUCUCGUCCUGGACUUGUCUAACUGACUGCAGAGCUAGCGAUCCAACCUCAAAUCUACUUCGAAAGUUCAGCGAUCUAUCCUGCAAUCUAUCCUGCGAUCUAUCUAUGGCUACGAACCCCCUGGCCAGUUCAACUUUGUAAGUGUAUUUUAUUUAUCAUUCAUAAACGUAAUUCCUGGGCAACUCAAAUGGCUUAAAUUGUACAAAUUCUUUUAUUAUUAUUAUCACGAAUAUUAUACUUAUUUUAUACUAUAUGAACUAUUAUACUAGUCGGGACUGAAUA
rnacentral:lncRNA from 1 species